UACAUAUGUAUGCUUUUCUCUGCCCCCAA
rnacentral:piRNA from 1 species